rnacentral:rRNA from 1 species
UACGAAGGGGGCUAGCGUUGCUCGGAAUCACUGGGCGUAAAGCGCACGUAGGCGGAUUGCUAAGUCAGGGGUGAAAUCCUGGAGCUCAACUCCAGAACUGCCUUUGAUACUGGCGGUCUCGAGUCCGGGAGAGGUGAGUGGAACUGCGAGUGUAGAGGUGAAAUUCGUAGAUAUUCGCAAGAACACCAGUGGCGAAGGCGGCUGACUGGUCCGGUUCUGACGCUGAGGCGCGAAAGCGUGGGGAGCAAACAGG